rnacentral:lncRNA from 1 species
GAGUAUCUUACGCUAGUGUUGGUUGUGCUGUACCUUGAAGUGGAACUGAGAUAACAUAAAUAUUCAUCUUUUCACCAGACGUCUUGUCUAUUAGGUCACCGUAGUUAACAGAGUCAUAGGGAGGUGGUGCAAAUAAAUGGGAGUGUUUAAAGGUCGAGCACUGCGACGACAACACCAUUCGGAACAACUAACAAUGAGGAAGAAGGCUACUAAACCACCAAACGAUCCAAUAUACCAAACUAUCGACCAUGGGUCUAGUGGACUAUGUUUUUCUAUGUCUUCUGAAACAAACAUUAAAAUUUAUUAUUAAUAUUGCUGAUUACUUGAACAAAGGGAGAAAGAACGAGAAAUACCUACUUAGUCUGUAUUACGUAAUCGUGUUCUCUACCGAUUACCUUACUAAGCACUACAUGGCACGUGUGUAGUAGCUACAAGUCACGUAGUCAAGUUAGCGCAAUCGAAUCGACGACAAUGAAGGGAAAAAGAAAAGAUAACGGAUGUGCUAAUAUUUCAGCUAAUCUUUUUCAUAUUUACAUUUUCACCAUAUUUUAAGUAAUAAUUCUCAUUGUUCAUUACAAAAAUAUUUUUCAUAUUUUCUUAUUUACUAAUAUCGGUUUUAAUAAAAUAUUUUUCAACUCCAAAAUAGAAUCAUAAUUUAAUUUUUUUAUUUUUAGUUUUGAAAUUGUCUUUUCCAACGCUGGAAUAAAAUAGUGAUCUCAAGAAGAAGAUACAACGAUUUUGCGACGCAAAAAAAUCUGACGCGACAUGAUGAUUGCUGCAGAGACUACUAAUGUUCAUUUAUGUUAAUAAUUUGGAUAUCACACCAAGUGAGAAUCGACUAGUGGGAAUGAUGAUGACGAAAGUGUCAAGGCAAAUAUGAUGUAAAAUUGAUGAUGAAACUGUCCAGAAUUUUAGUCUCACCAAUUUUGCAAAUACAUUCAAUCGGGUGAACAGCUUAUUGGAUUUAUUUGAUCUACCUGAUUCAUCAUAUGAGAAGGUUAAAUGUAAUGAGCAUAAAACAUAGGAAAUUUGGUUGACAUAAGAAGAGAAAAUUACACACACCUACGAAAAUGAUAUAAAACUUAUUUGAUGUUAAAAGUAUAAAGUAUUUUUUUGAUUAUUUGUAGAAUAUAAAUUGAUGAAAAAUAUAAAAUAAUAAGUAAAAUAUUAUUUAAUAACUUCUCAAAGUUCAUAAAUGAGUGAUGAAAUGAUCUAAGAAUUACUGUGGACUUCCUCGUAUGUGCUCAUUUUAUUAUUCAUUGUACUUCGUAUUUUCAUUGCCAAUUAAUAGACCUACUUACAUAUAUUCUUGUAAGAAUCAUAGACAUUGUUUACAUCAGCAAACUGACCUAGCAAUUUUCUCUAUAUGGUAUUGUUUCCAAUAUUGUUACAAUAUAUUCUUAAUAAUAUUGUAUUGUUCUAGGCAAGAUGCCAAAGUGAAUAUACCUUCUUUUUACUUGUUUU